GAUGAACGCUGGCGGCGUGCCUAAUACAUGCAAGUCGAGCGAACAGACGAGGAGCUUGCUCCUUUGACGUUAGCGGCGGACGGGUGAGUAACACGUAGGUAACCUACCUAUAAGACUGGGAUAACUUCGGGAAACCGGAGCUAAUACCGGAUAAUAUUUCGAACCGCAUGGUUCGAUAGUGAAAGAUGGCUUUGCUAUCACUUAUAGAUGGACCUGCGCCGUAUUAGCUAGUUGGUAAGGUAACGGCUUACCAAGGCAACGAUACGUAGCCGACCUGAGAGGGUGAUCGGCCACACUGGAACUGAGACACGGUCCAGACUCCUACGGGAGGCAGCAGUAGGGAAUCUGCCGCAAUGGGCGAAAGCCUGACGGAGUAACGCCGAGUGAGUGAUGAAGGUCUUCGGAUCGUAAAACUCUGUUAUUAGGGAAGAACAAACGUGGAAGUAACUGUGCACGUCUUGACGGUACCUAAUCAGAAAGCCACGGCUAACUACGUG
rnacentral:rRNA from 1 species